GAAGGAGGAAAAUGCCACAUUGGAGGAGGCUCAGGGUAUUAUAUCCUCAUGACCUUAAGAUCCUCAAUAUUUUCCAACCGAGAAGUCUUCAUCUUGAUGCAUCCUUCAAGUAUCUUUUUGCUGAUAUCUUUCUCUUCUUAAUCCUAAACGUGGGUGAUUUUGAUAAGGCAGCAAUUAAAACUAGCUAAAGGGAGGCUGUUACCAACUUUGAGCCAAGUGCAUAUGAAGGGGAAACAAUCUCUGAACCUCAAAGUGAAGGUUUGAUAAAAAAUUCUUGCUCAUUUUCAAACUAAUGUCGCUAAUUCCAAGCAACAGUGCAUUAUCUAUAUCUGAUCUAUCUCAUUUACGAUGCUUAUGACACAGAUAGCCAACAUGAUCGUGAUUUGAGCUUGGGGAUAUCAACCGCUUCUUCAAAGGAAAAUGACAGGCUGGAAGGCUUUCUCUAUCAUCCUUAUUAAUAUUUUUGGGAAAUUAUUUUCGUCAUAUUUUUUUUGUUGAUAAAAUCCUCUUGCAUUGUUUCUUCGCAGUAUCAUGAAGCAUACCAACUAAUCAAGAGUUUCAUUUUUAAACUUCUCUGUGAGGAGGCGAGGCUGGUGUCCACUUGGAGACAAAGCAUCAAAGGCUGGAGAAGAGUACAAAGUAAUUAAUUUAAUCUUCACAAUACUGAGGUUGUAGCAAAUGAUAAGAUGAAAUCAACAUAGUUCAUAGAGGCAAACACCAGAGUCAAUAACACUGUUAGUACAUAGUUGUGUGGUGUUAGUACGAUGUUUUGUUUUCGACCUUCAUUCGUUUUCUACAGGCUAGAGAAGAGAAUAAAAUCUCUUUCUCACUUCUUUUGAAGUCCUUUGCUUUAGCUUUCAAGGCAAAUUAUAUCCUCUUUUAUGAAGCUGCAAGCUUUCAUCUCUCUGGAAGCCUUUUCCACAAAUUUCACACAAGAAUCUGUUUGUGGACAUUUGUGUCUUUGGUAACAAGGCAAUCACUUCUGUUUCAGGAUCUGACAUGAUGAUAGCAUAUUUUUUUGUACUUGCUACUUCCUUAAGUUAUAGUAUGGACAAAUAUAGACCGGCCCUUAAAGUUAUUGGUAUUUUUCAACUGAUUCCUAGAGAAAUCAGUAGUUCACUUGA